GGAUGGAAAGCAGGAGCCCUUCGGCUGCCUGUUGUGGGCUGUGGAAGCUGAUCUUUCUCCAGCCCGGCAGCUGUCCCUUCAGUUGGUAGCUUGGCCUGGUCCAGCCUCCAGGACAGCCAGGUGGGGCCCUAACCUCCCACUCCUUUCCCUCCUCCCCACUUAGGUUCCUGCCGUGAGGGAGUUGUUCCCCUGCUGCUCCCCAGGCCUUCCACUUCAGGGAUCUCUUCAGAUAAAGGGGGUGGCUGGGGCCUGAAAUCUCAGCCCUCUCCCCCAGUGCAGAAUGGCAAGGUCCCAGCACUGACCCCAGCCAUCCAGUAGGGACAGGAAGCUCAGAAAGCAGGCUACUUGCCUCUCAGUGGCUAUGGACCUGGAGCAGAAUUGAGUGAGACGGUCCUUGUCUGCCUGCCAGUCUCCCUUCAGACCCUUCUUCACCCACUUCCACUUGUUCACCGCCUUCCCACUGCCAGCCCAGGAAGAGGGUUAGCAAAGGCUGAGCCAGCUCUGACCCAGUCUCCUCUCCCCACGUUUUGGUGGUGACCUCAUGCUGCAGAAAGUAGGGUUCUCUGAGGCCAAUGGCUGUGGGAAUGGGCAAAGAGAGAAGCUCCUGGGUACCCCAAGGCUGCAGCUCCAGCUCCUGGAGGGGUCAGUAAGAAGCAGCCAGGUCAGCCUGGAGUCCAUUGGGGCUCUCUCUGGCCCUACCUACAGCCCUGGGCAGCUUGGGUCAGGACUGAAUAUGGACAUGCAGGGCUCAGGAGCCAGCCAGGGACCUAUGGACAGCUGCGGCCUGCCCUGGGCCCAGGGCCCUUUGGGAGCCCUGACAUGAAGAGAGGCAGCAAUGGCCAGUUGGAAGCCAGUUACGCAGCGAAUGAACUGGAAUUCCAACUACUCAGAAGGAUAAGGCAGGAGAAUUGUUACAUCAGCCUAAGCAUUAAGCCAAGACUCUGUCUCAAAAUAAAG
rnacentral:lncRNA from 1 species